rnacentral:lncRNA from 1 species
GGUAUCUCUCUUUCCUAGCGCUGUUGCCAGGCAGACUUGUUACUGACACAAAUUUCCUCCCUGAUAAGUUGAGCUCUUCCCCCUCCCAACUUCAUUAUGCCUGCAGCCGGAGCUCUGCUGCAGAGGAAGCCAUGCCAGACACUCUGAUUCACGCUCCUAAAAUAUCGGCCAGCCUGGGUAUGCAAGUGAUGCGAUAAAUCUGGAAAACAUAAAUCAGAUUGUCGGAUGCUAUAUCUGUUUGUGCACAUAGGCUGCAGCAGGCAUGGUGACAUGCCCUCCAACUCUUUGGAGACUACAUUCAAGAGGAGGUUAAAGGGCACGGCUUCUAGAUCUGGGACAGGUGGGCGAGGAGGGCAGGAGUCAACAUGUAGAAGAGGCUUUAAAACUGUUGACAUACAGCCCAGGCACCAGACAUGAGAGUGAAGUGGAGUUCAGGCUCAGAGAUUAUCGGGAGAGGCUGGAAAAGGAAGCCUGAGGAGAGGACCCAAUGUUAGCAAAUCUUCCAAUAUAAAGAAUUUACAAAGCCCCUGAGUUUGGAUAUCAGAGGGAAGGUUGGUUUCAGCUUCACUAGGAACCCAGUCAAGAUGGAAAAUCAAAUAUACAGAAUCUGGCAGUUUGGAAGCUUCCUUAAAGAACACUCUAGAAAAAGCCAACCAACAAGUCCUUUCCUUUGGUGAACAAAGAAAAUUGCCUUCUUUGAGCCACUUAAUCAUUUCAAAGCCCAGAAAAGAAGACGGACUUUGUCUCUUUAGAAGAGGAGUCUGGAGACGUGGAGAUGAGCCAUGAGGGCCAUCUUUAUAGUUGCCUGGAAUAGAAGUGCCCAACAGAAGGCAGUGGACCAGCAUAGAGGCUUCAUAGAGCAAACAUAGCUGCAGCGACAAGAGUGACCCACACUGAUUGACAAUAAACUAGUGAAUGAAUUGACCUUGACAAUCUUCCAGGUCCAAGACAUAUAAAUCUACAUGCCUUCUGUAUCCUUUUUGCACGUUGAUCUUGCCCCAUCCUAUGACUCAAAACGACUGACACAGCACCCACAGAUUUCCAGUUCACAAGCAUGCUCUGUUCUCCCUCUACCUGGACCAAGUUGACGAUUGUACAGCUGUGUGCCAUUUGCAUGCCAUCUUUCCAUGAUAGGUCCAUGCAUAUGGGUAUUGGGGG